GAUGAACGCUAGCUACAGGCUUAACACAUGCAAGUCGAGGGGUAACGAGAGGAAAGCUUGCUUUCCUUGUCGACGACCGGCGCACGGGUGAGCAACGCGUAUCCAACCUGCCCCCAACUAGGGAAUAACCUUGCGAAAGUAAGACUAAUACCCUAUAAUUUCCUCAGAUGACAUCUGACGAGGAAUAAAGAUUUAUCGGUUGUGGAUGGGGAUGCGUCUGAUUAGGUUGUUGGCGGGGUAACGGCCCACCAAGGCAACGAUCAGUAGGGGUUCUGAGAGGAAGGUCCCCCACAUUGGAACUGAGACACGGUCCAAACUCCUACGGGAGGCAGCAGUGAGGAAUAUUGGUCAAUGGGCGGAAGCCUGAACCAGCCAAGUAGCGUGCAGGAUGACGGCCCUAUGGGUUGUAAACUGCUUUUAUACAGGAAUAAAGUUAGCCACGUGUGGUUAUUUGUAGGUACUGUAUGAAUAAGGACCGGCUAAUUCCGUGCCAGCCGCCGCCGUAA
rnacentral:rRNA from 1 species